UUUAAUAUGGCAGAUAAGUGCAUUGGAUUUAAGCAUCAAAUAUAAAGUCUCAAUCUUUUAUUCAUU
rnacentral:tRNA from 1 species